rnacentral:rRNA from 1 species
ACCAACGGGGUGCAGCAGGCGCGAAAACUUUGCAAUGUGCGAAAGCACGACAAGGUUAAUCCGAGUGAUUUCUGCUAAAGAAAUCUUUUGCUAGUCCUAGAAACACUAGUGAAUAAGGGGUGGGCAAGUUCUGGUGUCAGCCGCCGCGGUAAAACCAGCACCUCAAGUGGUCAGGAUGAUUAUUGGGCCUAAAGCAUCCGUAGCUCGUUUUGUAAGUUUUCGGUUAAAUCCAUACGCUUAACGUAUGGGCUGCCGGGAAUACUGCAUAACUAGGAAGUGGGAGAGGUAGACGGUACUCGGUAGGAAGGGGUAAAAUCCUUUGAUCUAUUGAUGACCACCUGUGGCGAAGGCGGUCUACCAGAACACGUUCGACGGUGAGGGAUGAAAGCUGGGGGAGCAAACCGGAUUAGAUACCCGGGCAGUCCCAGCUGUAAACUAUGCAAACUCAGUGAUGCAUUGGCUUGUGGCCAAUGCAGUGCUGCAGGGAAGCCGUUAAGUUUGCCGCCUGGGAAGUACGUACGCAAGUAUCCGGGA